rnacentral:lncRNA from 1 species
UUAACAUAAGCUACUAUUUUGCUUAACCCCAAGCAUCAUUUUCUUGAAUCAAGAAAAAGUCAGCUUAAGGCAAUAAAAAAAAUUCUUGGCGGCAAAUUCAAGAAUCAUCAUGCUUGAUCCAAGCUACUUUUUUUUUUCAGUGCGUGCAAAUAAUUAUUUUAUACAUGCCACACUUAAAAAAUAACCUCUUCGUUUAGUUCGAGUUUUACUACUUUUAUUUUUCCCUCGUUUGUUUGAAUAUAGAACUAACGGAGAUUUAAUCUGUUUCAGACCUUGCUUACUACUGCUCUGGCGCUAGCCAGCUUUGUCUACGCAGAGGACAGACCACAACUAAGGAGGUGGAAAAAGAUGGCAAGAAGCAAGACAAGCGAGGUCUCUUCGGUCUAGGCUACGGAUACGACUCCUACUCCGGCUACGGACUCGGCUACGGCCACGACUCCUUCGACUCCUCCUUCGACACGGAUUAGGCAGCUACGGAGGAUCUUCUCUCGGCAGCUACGGAGGUAGCUACGGAGGCUCUUCAUUAGGCAGCUACGGUGGAUCUUCCUUGGGCAGUUACGGUGGUUCCUCAUUGGGUAGCUACGGUGGCUCUUCAUUAGGCAGCUACGGUGGUUCCUCAUUGGGUGGCUCUUACGGAGGCUCCUACGGAGGCUACGAGUCCGCUCCAUCUUACUCAUCUGGUAGCAGCUACGACUCUCACGGCUCCUACGAGUCAUCCUCUUACCCAAGUUCCUCAUACGGCGGCUCAUCCUACGGUAGUUCCAGCUCUCCAAGCUCCAGCUACGGACCCCCCAACUACACCCCUGGUGCACCCAUCGGAUCCUCCCAUGGCUCUGACAAGUAUAAGCGAGCUAACCCAAAGCAGUAAUAUGACACGUGAUUGAGAAAUUACUUGUGUAUUAUUAUUCUGACUGAUAUUCAGUUACCAAUGCACGGCUGUAGUGGCCCAAAAGCGGCGUUUGUCCUCUCACAACUUAAGUUCUCCUCACUGGUCGGACAGCGAGACUGAAGCUGUUCCAAUACAAACUUCACCUGAAAAACAUCAUCAGUAAAUUAGUUUGUACUCGUUUGUUGCUGAUCCAGUUCGACGGUGUGAAACAACCGGUCAAAAAUCUGAUUUUCCAGUUAUUUUGGAAAAUUUCAAGUCAUUGCAAGUCAUUAUUGUUUAAGUCAUUCAAGUUAGAAGUUAUUUUUAACUUAUUUUGUUAAAAAUGCGUUUAAUAAAUUCUAGGUAGUUUAUAUGUUCGUAAACCUGACUUCAUAUUUUUAUCAAUCCCAAUCUCCGACCUUACCAGUAAACCUUUAGUUAUCGUUCGAAAUAAUUAUUUAAUAACGCAGUUGAACGUUUCAAAGCAGACUGCUCAACUUUAUUUUUUAUUUUUAGUGACGAAAUUUCACUGAAAAUUUCCAGCAACAUUAUUAAGUAGUUAAUUUUCUUUUUAAACCUAAAAUAUUACAGGAAACACUGCAACUUUACAUUCUUUACAUUUUUUUUCAUUCUUUUUCGUAAUUUUUUUCUCGCUGAAGAAGCUAAUUAACCUUCAAGCUAAUAAAAGCACUUAUAUCUAAUAAAACAAUUUAAGUUCUAAGUUUGAGCUCUCACUUUCUAAUCCUGGCUUGGUUUUUUCAGUAGUUUAUACUUUGCUUUCAAAUCAGACUGCGCGCACUAAGUUCCAUCUUUUAUGAAUUCGCAAUGAGUGUCAAAACCAGCAGGUAAUGUUGAGGCUUUGGCUCUACUUUGAACAGCCGGGUUAUAGGGUGGAUUGGUCUCUCCCAAAAAUGGCGGGUAGUAAGGAGGUGCCCUUGGCAAUGGUCUUCCUGUUUUGAGCUUUUCUUUUUUAUAAAAACUGAACACUACCCAGAUGAAAUACGCUAAGAAAACUGGAAUCAAAUGAAAAUUAUUUACUUAUAAAAAGAUAAAAGCAUUUAAUUAUGUUUUUAUUAUUUCUAUCGUCGUAUUGAAUAAUAAUUUACUCUCUCUCUCUGUAUCCAAAGGUAUAUAGGAAGUAAGUAUGGAGUGAAAUAAUUACAAAACUUCAGAUGACCAAAUUGUGAGAAGAAAAAUUCGAGUUGCGUAACAUUUGAAACGCAAGGAGUAGAAUUUGAAUCAUUUAAAAUUUCUCACGCUUGCUCCUCUCUGUUGCCAUUGAAUCGUUUUGUGCAUAUAUUCUUAAUGUUAUGCGUGAUAUAAAAUGCAUAAAAAUUUAUUAUGAAGUUACGUGAUUUUACCAUGAAAUGAUGCUGAAAUUAGAAAUUGAACGUGAUCGGCUGACAUCUCUCUCUUCUCUUUAAAAAAAUGGACAAAAAGGAGGGGAGUAACUAGGUGGCAAGUGGUUUCGUUCAAUCCUUAUAAUAAUUCUUAAUUUCAAAACUAACAACACCUUCUACAUAGGAACUAUCAAAUCUGGAAUGCCUCUUGUAGCUAAAAUUCAUGCUUCAUUAUACCGUAACUUGACAAAUAGGUAAUAAAUUCUUGCGCUUUCAGGAUGAUUUCGUAUUAGUUGGACAGCUUUAUUUCCUAUUCUAUCUUGUUUCUGUUCAAGAAGGAGGAAAGCAAAUCCUCUUUUACUUACUACCAUGCGAAACUGCAGAGAUGGCAUCAGCUAUGAAAUACUCCGGAUAUUGACCUAAAACACUCAUGAUGGCGAGAUUUGUGCAAGAGACCCCCGUCUCCGUUAUACACGUUUGACUGAACAUUAUGAGCCAUGGUAGGAAAUAAUCUGGUCGCCCCUGUACAAUUUUAAGUCAGUAAACAUUGAGUUAAUUUUAUUAUUCAUACAUUGGAUUUUAACAUUUCUAAAAUUCUUACACUGAAUCAUUUUUAAAAAACCAAACCAUCCUAAAAACAAUGAAAGUUCAAUGAGGUCAUGCAAUAGACAAUUAAAAAAGCAUAUACUCGUGAAUGGUAAGGCACGAGAAAUACAUGUCUUAUAUGAAAAAGUAUGCUGAUGUUUUAUCAUUUACUAGUGAGAUUUCAUUGUUUAGAGAUAAUUGAAGGUUACCAAUAUCAAGAUAUUAAAAUUUUAAGUAGUCUUGAAACUGGCAAGUCUCCAGAUAAUUUGGUUAGAUAGAUUUAUUGCCUCCAACUUCUAUGAGGCUGAGAGUUGAUAACACCGCAUAUGAAAAUGAAUGAAGUAAUUCCUUGAAGUUAUAAUAGCCAUAAUUUAAAUUUUAGUACCUGCCUACGUCUUCUAGGAGUGUUAAGAUGAAAACUUUCAGGUUUACACUAAUUCCUUAAAUUGAAACCAUAACAUAAAUUUGGUGAAGAUCACCUACUUUUGGUUCUAAGCCAUUUUCAUAGAUACAAGGGUGGAUAAAUGAGUUAAUUACCUUAUCCAAGGCAAAAAUUCCGAGAGCGCAGGCUAUAACCUGGAAGAAAGCAGUGAUACCUGUCAUGAUAACAUAACGUUGAAUGUAUGUUCCUUUCGUGAAGAACAGUAGCUGAUCAAUUCCUGUUUGAGAUCAAAGCACAUUAAUGUGAAUGAGCGGAUUCCUGCAGCUCUUAAUGUACGAAAUAAGCGCUGAAGUAAUUUAAUUUGAGCAUUCUACUUCUGGUCUUGAUAUUCACUAUGAUAUGCGUAAAAUGCUUAUAAAUUGUGAUCGUUUAUUUCAGUUGUAUUUAAAUUAGCUGUGAGGCUUUUCUAUCAAAUAAAAAAUGGGUAGCUUUUUCAUAGUUUUGCAUGAGUCUCACAUUUUUAAUCAAUUUUCUUCAUUAGCUUUUGAACCGAAAUAAAAAUAGUUGAACAUUUUUCCUCUCAUUAAAACAAUUUUUCAGGUGUACAAAUAAGAGUGUACAGUAAGGUUCUAGAUCACUUUAUUGGAAAAUAUUUCCCCGUUGAAAAUGCUUAAAUCUACUCAAGAUAAAAGUCUAAAGGCUAAUUUGAAAUUUUGGACGGACCAUAGCUAUCGAAAUCCGCUUCUACGAUACUUUCCAUCGUUUGAAAUUUGACGCUGGUACUUUCAAACCAAAUCCAGUAGAAAGGAACACAUUUUUUUCACAAAAAGAGGUCUGUUUGUUAGUUGCGAGAUUAUAAACUCCAUACAAGUGAUUCUCAUGCAGUUAGUUUCUCUCUCUGAACUGAUUAGACUUGUUUAUUCAGGGGGAAGGGAACUACGCCAUUGAAAAUUCAAAGGAAAUAAUAAUUUUUUGCAUUAAAUUUGAUUCCCUCGGUCGUAAAUAAAAAAAACCAAAAGGCUCUAAGUUGACUAAGAUUAAGUUUUGAUUUCUCCUCAUGCAACAAAAAAUCCAAAAAAAACUUGGUUGCUCUCUACUUAUAUUAAACUAUUUUUACGGAGAGGAAGGGCCGCCAUUUCUUGUGCAAAGAAGGUAUCUGAAGUUAAAAAUCAGUUUCUAAAAAUGACGUUUUUCGGGGAAAUUUUCGAGAUGGGGGGGGGAGUUCAGGCAUCUGAGCCCUAUCUGUGGCUACGCCUUCGACCUGGUAACUGGAACUAGAAUGAUUUUCUUUUGUAUCAUACGACGCAACCGAUCUUUGGCAACACUAGCCUUGAUGCCACGUUUCAUAUAGUCACCUCACCACCGCGCUCCCUUUCCAACCUCUUUGUCCGACGCAGAUGUGUCCCACCGACGUCGAAGCGUCUCCGUCAAGCGUCGACGUCGCGUCGGCGUCGCGGUGCGCGGGAAACUGGCGAUUGAUGUAAGAGGGAAAACUCACCGUGGCCGAUUUCGUAAUAGAAGGAGCUGUUGGAGGGACGCGGGUAAUUCGUGACGAUUUGAUUCGCCUCGCUUCGCAGCAGAGACGUGGCCAGGUAUAUCGUCGUGAAGACCAGUAGCAACCUCGUCAGCUGAAACAAUCGAGCACACGAAAAAUUACACGGGUAAGUUACAGGCCCAUUGAAAUUCAAUCACAGCAAAAUCGAUGAGUGGUAAAAAUAUGGGUCGAGUGUACAGUGGCGUUACUUGACUGAAAACUGAAAGGGAGAAGCUAGCCAAGUUUAAAAUUACCCGCGAACAUUGAAUUACACAGUAUGGUAAUAUAUGAAAAGAUAAU